rnacentral:rRNA from 1 species
AGUACCGUGAGGGAAAGGCGAAAAGAACCCCGGGAGGGGAGUGAAAUAGAUCCUGAAACCGCAUGCAUACAAUCAGUAGGAGCCUCGUAAGGGGUGACUGCGUACCUUUUGUAUAAUGGGUCAGCGACUUACAUUCCAGUAGCAAAGCCUUAACCGAAAUAGGGAAAGGCGUAGCGAAAAGCGAGUCCCGAAUUAGGGCGUUAGUUGCCUGGGUGUAGACCCGAAACCCAGUUGAUCCUAUUCCAUGGGCCCAGGUUUGAAGGGUGCGGUAACCCCGUACUGGAGGGACCCGAACCCACCUAACCGUUGAAAAAGUUAGGGGAUGAGCUGUGGAUAGGGGUGAAAGGGCUAAACAAACUGGAAAUAGCUGGUUCUCUCCGAAAACUAUUUAGGUAGUGCCUCGUGUAUCACCAUAGGGGGUAGAGCACUGUCAUGAUUGUGGGGUCCAUUGCGGGAUUACCGCGUCAUAGCAAACUCCGAAUACCUAUGAGUGCAAGCACGGGAGACAGACAUCGGGUGCUAACGUCCGGUGUCAAGAGGGAAACAAGCCAGACCGCCAGCUAAGGUCCCUAAUAUAUGCUAAGUGGGAAACGAAGUGGGAAGGCUAAAACAGUCAGGAGGUUGGCUUAGAAGCAGCCAU